AGCGUUGACGGCUUUCUACCCCUCCCGCGAGCCUCCCAUCUAGAUGUCUGUCAAGGUCGCCAUAAAGCAACCUAGUCCAUAUGGCGAUAGAAUAAAACGAAGACGCUCAUGUAUAGAUUAUCCGCCGGGGUGAAGAUGGAGUGAAAAACAUGUGAGAGAGAAGUCGAAAAGAGACGUACAGGCGUAGGGAGCUAAGGGUGUAGAAUAAAAAAUUAGAUUUCUCGGCCUUGUGGAGCCGGUGGACUAGGCACUGCGGCGACUGUCGAGCUUCAAAACAGCCUUGGAAGUAGUGGAAAAAGGCAAAGUGAAGGAAUAUCAGAGUGAACCUGGCAAGUGAGCACACAAUCAAGAAACAUCUGCUGGAAAACUCAGUCUCUAAAACAAAAUGCGCGGGCCUCUCACCGUCAUGGCCUCUCCCGCCGCGGAGCACAGGCUCCGGACGCGCAGGCUCAGCAGCCAUGGCUCACGGGCCCAGCCACUCCGCAGCACGCAGGGUCCUCCCGGACCGGGGCACGAACCCACGUCCCCUGCAUCGGCAGGCAGACCCUCAACCACUGCGCCACCAGGGAAGCCCCAGCUUAAUUUUUUAAUUCUUUUAAAAAUUACAGACAUCAGUACACAUCAUCCCUAAACUCUUCAGCAUUGCAUAUUUUAAACUGAGUUUACUAGUUCACAAUUCUUUUUUUUUCUUUAAUGAGGUAAAUUUUACAUACAGUGAAAUGCAAAAAUCUUAAUUUUACCAAUAUAUGAGUUUUGACAAAUGCAUACAAAUUGGGUAAUAUUAAUUUUACUUAAAGUGAACGAAUGGCAUAAGCAAGCUUAGAGGACCAGAGAAAGCAAUAUAUUUUAUUCCAAAAUAUUCUGAUUUGACAACAAGAGACGUGGAUAAAGCACUGCAAAUUAGGAGGCAGAGUAUUGUUUUAAAACAUCUGCUAACGGAAGCAAAAAGAAAUGUAAUCAAACAUAACAUUGCAAAAGUUUUCGAAUUUAAGCAAAUUUAGCAAUGGAGAGGAAGAUCCUGCUGACAAGGCAUCACAAGAUGGAGAUAUACCUUGAAAAUGACGGAUGAAAAACAAAAGAAGCAUCAACCCACAGUGAUUUUGAAUGAAAAGCAUGUGAUUCUGUGAUACGAGUGAAUGAAAAUGAAUAGCCCAGAAAGGCAGCAUCUCUGAAAGUGUGUUUCUAACAGACUCAAAAAGAAUUUUUUGUUUUGGAGCAGGAAAAAAUGUUCCUUAACAAUCAUUUUCUGGAGGAGGCCCAAAGAGACAUGACUUGCACAAACAUCUCCAAAUAACCAGGUCCUAACUCAAGAUAGAAAUGAAGCAUCAGAGUUGGAAUAUGUGCAAUAUGAACAUGACUUGCGUGCAGUGGUUGUAAAAGAAGCAAGAGAUUUUGGUAAGAAUAUGGAGAAAGUGGAACCCUUAGACAUUGCUAGUGGGAAUGUAAAAUGGUACAACUAUUGUGGAAAAUAGUUUGGCAGUUCCUCAAAAAGUUAAGUGUGGGGUCUUCCCUGGUGGAGCAGUUGUUAAGAAUCUGCCUGCAAAUGCAGGGGACACUGGUUUGGGCCCUGGUCCAGGAAGAUCCCACAUGCCGUGGAGCAACUAAGCCCAUGUGCCACACAACUACUGAGCCUGUGCUCUAGAGCCUGCAGCCACAACUACUGAGCCCAUGCACCACAACUACUGAAGCCCACGCGCCUAGAGCCCAUUCUCCACAACAAGAGAAGCCACCGCAAUGAGAAGCCAUUGCACCACAAUGAAGAGUAGCCCCUGCUCGCCGCAACUAGAGAAAGCCCGCAGACAGCAACAAAGACCCAACACAGCCAAAAAUAAAAUUAAAAAUUAAAAAAAAUAAGUAUAGAAUUAACCAUACGACCCAGCAAUUCCACUCCUAGGUAUAAACACAAAAGAAUUGAAAAUAUAUUUUCAAACAAAUAUCUGUAAACAAAUGUUCAUAGCAGUACUAUUUAUGAUAACCAAAAAUGAACACAACCCAAAUGUCCAUCAAGUGAUAAAUAUAUGAGCUGAAUGUGGUAUAUCCAUACAAUAGAAUAUUAGUCAGGCAUGAAAAAGAAUGAAGUACUGAUAUAUGCUACAAAAUAGAUGAACCUCAAAAGCAUUAUACUAAAUGAAAGAAGCCAGACACAAAAUGUCAUAUAUAAUUCCAUGUAUAUGAAAUAUUCAGAAUAGAUAAAUCCAUAGAGACAGAAAGCAGACUAGUGGUUUCCAGGGGUUAGGGGGAGGGAGCAAUGGGAAAUGACUACUUAAUGAGUAUGAGAUUUCCUUUUGGGAUAAUGAAAAUGUUCUGGAACUAGCUAGUGGCGAUGGUUACACACAUUGUGAAUGCAGGAAAUGACAAAAAUUGGAUAGUUUAGCAUGGCUAAUUGUUAAUUUUCUUUUGUGUUACAUGAAUUUUACCUCAGUUUCAAAAAAAAGAGAAGGAAGGAAGGAAGGAAGGAAGGGGAAAGAAGAAAGAUAGGGGUCUUCUAAGGACCUCCAGAAUCUAGAGCAAGAUGCUACAGGGAGAUAAAAGCCCCCCAAAUCCCUGCUUUCUAGAACACAUCUAAUGUUUCACUAUUUUCAGGAUAUUGAAAUAAUUUUAAACAAAUGUAUAUUGAAUUUCUUUUAUGUGGCAGUCACUGAAGUAGACACUGGGAAACAAACAAUGGAGUGCAAAAACUGUCAUGGUCCCUGUCCUCCUGAACCUUACAAUCUAGCUGGAGGAGGCAGGCUUUGAUCAAAAGACUGUAUCAGUAAAUGAAGAUGUACAACUGUGACAAGUGCUACAAGAGAGAUUUCUGGUGUUAUGAAAGUAUAUUUAGUGCGAGAAAGAGUAUUUAAUAGGUGGAACAUUCUAGUCAAAGAAUAAAAUCUGCAGAAGUCCUUGUAGCAACAGGGAGUAUGGUGUCUUUAAGGACCUGCCAGAGGCCAUGUGGCUAUAGGAAAGAAGCUUGUGAAGAUCCAGACCAUGCAAAGCCACCUUUUUAUUUUUCUUUCAGUUGUAUUGAGAUAUAACUGACAUACAGCACUGUGUAAGUUUAAGGUAUACAACAUAACGAUUUGACUUACAUACAUCAUGAAAUGAUUACCACAAUAAGUUGAGUGAACACCUAUCAUCUCAUAUAGAUACAAAAUUAAAG